rnacentral:rRNA from 1 species
ACGAACGCUGGCGGCGUGCUUAACACCUGCAAGUCGAACGGAAAGGCCCUGCUUUUGUGGGGUGCUCGAGUGGCGAACGGGUGAGUAACACGUGAGUAACCUGCCCUUGACUUUGGGAUAACUUCAGGAAACUGGGGCUAAUACCGGAUAGGAGCUCCUGCUGCAUGGUGGGGGUUGGAAAGUUUCGGCGGUUGGGGAUGGACUCGCGGCUUAUCAGCUUGUUGGUGGGGUAGUGGCUUACCAAGGCUUUGACGGGUAGCCGGCCUGAGAGGGUGACCGGCCACAUUGGGACUGAGAUACGGCCCAGACUCCUACGGGAGGCAGCAGUGGGGAAUAUUGCACAAUGGGCGGAAGCCUGAUGCAGCAACGCCGCGUGCGGGAUGACGGCCUUCGGGUUGUAAACCGCUUUCGCCUGUGACGAAGCGUGAAUGACGGUAAUGGGUAAAGAAGCACCGGCUAACUACGUG